UGCCCUGCUUCCAGGAAAAGCCUCUAAGCAUCAGGUAACAUCAAAUCGUACCCCAAACCGACACAGGUGGUCAGGUAGAGAAUACCAAGGCGCUUGAGAGAACUCGGGUGAAGGAACUAGGCAAAAUGGUGCCGUAACUUCGGGAGAAGGCACGCUGAUAUGUAGGUGAAGCGACUUGCUCGUGGAGCUGAAAUCAGUCGAAGAUACCAGCUGGCUGCAACUGUUUAUUAAAAACACAGCACUGUGCAAACACGAAAGUGGACGUAUACGGUGUGACGCCUGCCCGGUGCCGGAAGGUUAAUUGAUGGGGUUAGCGGUAACGCGAAGCUCUUGAUCGAAGC
rnacentral:rRNA from 1 species